CUACGGGGGGCUGCAGUGGGGAAUUUUGCGCAAUGGGGGAAACCCUGACGCAGCGAUACCGCGUGAGUGAAGAAGGCCUUUGGGUCGUAAAGCUCUUUUCUAAGGGAAGAUAGUGACGGUACCUUAGGAAUAAGCGCCGGCUAACUCCGUGCCAGCAGCCGCGGUAAUACGGAGGGCGCGAGCGUUGUUCGGAUUUACUGGGCGUAAAGGGCGCGUAGGCGGCCUGGCAAGUUAAGGGUGAAAUCCCGGGGCUUAACCCCGGAACUGCUCUUAAAACUGCCAAGCUAGAGAUGGUCAGAGGCGGGUGGAAUUCCAGGUGUAGAGGUGAAAUUCGUAGAUAUCUGGAGGAACACCGGUGGCGAAGGCGGCCCGCUGGGGCCAUUCUGACGCUGAGGCGCGAAAGCGUGGGGAGCGAACGGGAUUAGAUACCCGCGUAGUC
rnacentral:rRNA from 1 species